AGUUAAACAGUACGUGAAAUUGUUGAAAGGGAAACGAUUGAAGCCAGUCGUACCUUCGGGUAAUCAGCCUUUCGGGUGCGAUUCUGUGGAGUUUGAGGAGCUUAACACCUUCAUGCUUUGCAUAUUCGUGCUCUUGGGUGUACUUGCUCGUAUGGUUGGUUAACAUCAAUUUUGGUGGUCAUAAAAUGACUGGAGGAAUGUAGCUUCGAUCUCGUAUUGAAGUGUUAUAGCCUUCGGUAGAUGUGAUGACUGAGAUUGAGGAUUGCAACGGAUACCCUUCGGGGCUACCUGUCUGAUCUCUGAUCGUUGCUCUGGUGCCGAAAGCUUGCUUACGGUUGUCAAAGUCGAUGGUCAAUAGGUUAGAAUGGGUUAAAUUCGUUAAGGAUGUUGACGUAAUGGCUUUAAA
rnacentral:misc_RNA from 1 species